AAAGCCCUGGGCUCAACCUAGGAAUUGCACUUAAAACUGGUUAACUAGAGUAUUGUAGAGGAAGGUAGAAUUCCACGUGUAGCGGUGAAAUGCGUAGAGAUGUGGAGGAAUACCGGUGGCGAAGGCGGCCUUCUGGACAGAUACUGACGCUGAGAUGCGAAAGCGUGGGGAGCAAACAGGAUUAGAUACCCUGGUAGUCCACGCUGUAAACGAUGUCGAUUUGGAGUUUGUUGCCUAGAGUGAUGGGCUCCGAAGCUAACGCGAUAAAUCGACCGCCUGGGGAGUACGGCCGCAAGGUUAAAACUCAAAUGAAUUGACGGGGGCCCGCACAAGCGGUGGAGCAUGUGGUUUAAUUCGAUGCAACGCGAAGAACCUUACCUGGUCUUGACAUCCACAGAAUCCUGUAGAGAUAUGGGAGUGCCUUCGGGAACUGUGAGACAGGUGCUGCAUGGCUGUCGUCAGCUCGUGUUGUGAAAUGUUGGGUUAAGUCCCGCAACGAGCGCAACCCUUAUCCUUUGUUGCCAUCGGUUUGGCCGGGAACUCAAAGGAGACUGCCGUUGAUAAAGCGGAGGAAGGUGGGGACGACGUCAAGUCAUCAUGGCCCUUACGACCAGGGCUACACACGUGCUACAAUGGCGUAUACAAAGGGAGGCGACCUCGCGAGAGCAAGCGGACCUCAUAAAGUACGUCUAAGUCCGGAUUGGAGUCUGCAACUCGACUCCAUGAAGUCGGAAUCGCUAGUAAUCGUGAAUCAGAAUGUCACGGUGAAUACGUUCCCGGGCCUUGUACACACCGCCCGUCACACCAUGGGAGUGGGUUGCACCAGAAGUAGAUAGCUUAACCUUCGGGAGGGCGUUUACCACGGUGUGGUUCAUGACUGGGGUGAAGUCGUAACAAGGUAACCGUAGGGGAACCUGCGGUUGGAUCACCUCCUUAC
rnacentral:rRNA from 1 species